ACGCGAGCUGGGUUCAGAACGUCGUGAGACAGUUCGGUCCCUAUCCGGCGCAGGCGAAGGAUAUUUGAGAGGAGCUGUCCUUAGUACGAGAGGACCGGGAUGGACGGACCGCUGGUGGAUCUGUUGGCUACCAAAGCCAUGGCAGAGUAGCCAAGUCCGGCAGGGAUAAACGCUGAAGGCAUCUAAGCGUGAAGCCCCCCUCAAGAUGAGAUAUCCCAAUAAGUAAGACCCCUUAGAGAGUAUGAGGUAGAUAGGCUGGAGGUGGAAGUGCAGUAAUGUAUGUAGCUGACCAGUACUAAUCGGUCGAGGGCUUAUCCU
rnacentral:rRNA from 1 species